UACGAAGGGGGCGAGCGUUGUUCGGAAUUACUGGGCGUAAAGGGCGCGCAGGCGGCCCUUGAAGUCAGGCGUGAAAGCCCCGGGCUCAACCUGGGAGGUGCGCUUGAUACUCGAGGGCUUGAGUGCGGGAGAGGAGAGUGGAAUUCCCAGUGUAGAGGUGAAAUUCGUAGAUAUUGGGAAGAACACCGGUGGCGAAGGCGGCCUCU
rnacentral:rRNA from 1 species